GGUUGGGGAGGUGGGGGGAAGCGAAGCCCUAAGAUGGGCGGAGAGAAGCAGAUGUGGAGGUGAUGGCGAAGACCCAGAUAUAAGCAGUUGGUGAGUUCCAUGAGGAGACUGCAACUUCUCCACCCUGUGCCCCUCCAGAUCCCUCAUGCUGCUCUGUGUCCUCCAGGGUUGGCCUGUCCAAGUUCAACAGUGGGCUUCCACACCCUCCCACUUCCAGCUGGGUUGGCCAAGGCACAGUUGGCCUGCUCUGUAGGUGAGCAAAGCCAGCUCCGCUGCUAGAGAAAGCCCUGAGGCAAAGAAAUGCAAGUCUUUGCAGCUGGAAGUCAGGCUGGUGUGCCGAAAUGGUCAAAGCCAGGGCUGUGGGCAGGCCCUCGCAGUAUCUGCUACACAGCCCCUGCCACUAGCCCUCCUGGCAGCUCUUUCUACCUGACCCCACUAAAACAGCAUCCUGCACAAAAUAGAACAUAGCAGGCCGGGCGCAGUGGCUCACACCUGUAAUCCCAGCACUUUGGGAGGCCGAGGAGGGCGGAUCACCUGAGGUC
rnacentral:lncRNA from 1 species